rnacentral:rRNA from 1 species
CGGGUGAGUAACGCGUGGGCAACCUGCCUUACACAGGGGGAUAACACUUAGAAAUAGGUGCUAAUACCGCAUAAGCGCACAGCUUUGCAUGAAGCAGUGUGAAAAACUCCGGUGGUGUAAGAUGGACCCGCGUCUGAUUAGCUGGUUGGCAGGGUAAAGGCCUACCAAGGCGACGAUCAGUAGCCGGCCUGAGAGGGUGAACGGCCACAUUGGGACUGAGACACGGCCCAGACUCCUACGGGAGGCAGCAG